rnacentral:rRNA from 1 species
UGGGGAAUAUUGCACAAUGGGCGCAAGCCUGAUGCAGCGACGCCGCGUGGAGGAAGAAGGUUCUCGGAUUGUAAACUCCUGUUGAGUGAGAAGAAAUACUAGUCGUUAAUACCGGCUAGGGCUGACGGUAUCACUCGAGAAAGCACCGGCAAACUUCGUGCCAGCAGCCGCGGUAAUACGAAGGGUGCGAGCGUUAUUCGGAGUUAUUGGGCGUAAAGAGCGUGUAGGCGGUCUAUUAAGUCAGUUGUUAAAGAACCCAGCUUAACUGGGUAAAUGCGAUUGAAACUGAUAGGCUGGAGUGUGAGAGAGAGAAGUGGAAUUCUCGGAGUAGCGGUAAAAUGCGUAGAUCUCGAGAGGAACACCGGUGGCGAAGGCGGCUUCUUGGCUCACUACUGACGCU